GAUUAGAGUUUGAUCCUGGCUCAGGACAACGCUGGCGGGGUGCAUGAGACAUGCAAGUCGAACGAGGCACUGUUGAGCUUGCUCGACGGUGUCCUAGUGGCGGACGGCUGAGUAACGCGUAGGUGACCUACCCGGAAGUGGGGAAUAACUGCCCGAAAGGGUGGCUAAUACCGCAUGUGGUCGACGAUUCGAUUCGUCGUCCAAAGGAGCAAUUCGCUUCCGGAGGGGCCUGCGUCCGAUUAGCUAGUUGGUGGGGUAACGGCUUACCAAGGCGACGAUCGGUAGCUGGUCUGAGAGGAUGAUCAGCCAGACUGGGACUGAGACACGGCCCAGACUCCUACGGGAGGCAGCAGUCGGGAAUUUUGCCCAAUGAGCGAAAGCUUGAGGCAGCAACUCCGCGUGAGGGAUGAAGGCUCUAGGGUCGUAAACCUCUUUUCUCAGGGAAGAUACAAGACGGUACCUGAGGAAUAAGCGACGGCUAACUACGUGCCAGCAGCCGCGGUAAUACGUAGGUCGCAAGCGUUGUCCGGAUUUACUGGGCGUAAAGAGCGCGCAGGCGGCUGGCCAAGUCCGAUGUGAAAGCUUCCGGCUUAACUGGAAAAUUGCAUCGGAAACUGGUCGGCUUGAAGGUGGGAGAGGGUAGCGGAAUUCCCGGUGUAGUGGUGAAAUGCGUAGAUAUCGGGAGGAACACCAGUGGCGAAGGCGGCUACCUGGCCCAUUCUUGACGCUGAGGCGCGAAAGCUAGGGGAGCGAACGGGAUUAGAUACCCCGGUAGUCCUAGC
rnacentral:rRNA from 1 species